GGUUUCCCUUUGAUCUUUCAAAAAUCAAAUUCCUUCCAACUCCUUAGAUAUUUUCUUUUUGUAGUAGACUAGAUCCGAGAAAAUUUCAAGUCACACAAUCCAAAUCCCUAAAAAUUUGGAUAUUUAUAUCUCUUUCCUUGCAUAUAUAUAAAAUUCAUAUAGAUCUUUGUAAAACAAAACAAAAAGUGCACCAUUUUUCUUUUUUAUUUUUAUUAAAAUAAUAAAUGGACAUGGUGGCGAAGGUACACGUGUCAACGCACCACCUACUACCGAGCAGUAAUGUUUUCCGGCCUUCGAUUGUGAAGGUUCAUGGACGACGUAGAGUUUUUGUACAACCUUGCAGGAGCUUUAAGUCUGAUGAUGCUGAGUAUGUGAAGGUGAACAAGUUGGUUGGAGCUAUUAGGUCUGCUGUAUGGAGUUGUUCAAAGCCAAGUUUGAGAACUGAAAAUAAGCUUAGAGAAGCUAUGGAGAUGUUGGAAGAGAGAUUAUUCUGGUUGGCUUUAUAUGUUGGAAGAUAUAUUAUAACAAUGAUGAGCACAGGUGUUGUCAUGUUCGUUGGGUUUCAGUUGUCAGGUGGAGAUAGCCAGAUGAAUGAAUUGAUAUGGUACAGCUGGCUUGGAGGAAUUAUUAUCGGCACUAUGAUAGGAUCCAAUUUAGUUUUGGAUGAUGUUGCUCGAGCUGGCCCCCGUAAUGUCCUUAUAACUGGAAGGUAUAAUACUUUACUCAUACCUUCAUUGUUUGUAAUUACCAUUUUAAUUAUUUUUUGGUGCAGUACAAGGGGACUAGGGAAAGCUCUUGCCCGCGAAUUCUUACUUUCUGGAGAUCGGGUCAUUGUUACCUCCCGCAGCCCGGCAUCUGUCCGUUUGACUAUCGAGGAGCUUGAGGAAAAUCUGAAGGAAGCUGUCAAUGCUGCCACCGGCUCUGCUAGACUAAAGUUGGCACAUGCAAAACUGGUUGGUAUGGCUUGUGACGUCUCUGAACCUGUUGAUGUUAAAGAACUGGGCAAGUUUGCUGCAGAUGAACUUGGUUAUAUUGACAUUUGGGUAAACAAUGCUGGGACAAACAAAGGCUUUCGACCCUUGCUGGAGUUCACCGACAAUGAUAUUCAAGAGAUUGUCUCAACAAACCUGAUUGGUUCUAUACUAUGCACUAAAGAAGCCAUCCAAAUCAUGAAAACCCAAAGCGAAGGUGGACAUGUCUUUAAUAUGGAUGGUGCAGGUUCUGGAGGAUCUAGCACCCCUCUAACAGCUGUCUAUGGGUCUACAAAAUGUGGUCUCAGGCAGCUUCAAUCAUCCCUACUGAAGGAGUGCAAGCGGUCAAAAGUUGGAGUGCAUACGGCGUCUCCAGGCAUGGUCCUAACCGACCUACUUCUGAGUGGAUCAACUAUCCAAAAUAGGCAGAUGUUUAACAUCAUUUGCGAACAUCCAGAGACAGUUGCUAGAACACUAGUGCCAAGGAUGCGGGUUGUAAAAGGAAGUGGAAGAGCCAUCAAUUAUUUGACUCCACCAAGGAUCUUAAUUGCCUUAGUAACCGCAUGGUUGAGACGGGGCCGAUGGUUUGAUGAUCAGGGAAGAGCACUGUAUGCUGCAGAGGCAGAUCGACUCCGUAACUGGGCUGAAAGCCGGACACGUUUUUCAUUCACAGAUGCGAUGGAGAUGUACACUGAGAAUACUUGGGUGUCUGUGUUCUCACUCUCUGUAGUUUGUGCAUUCAUCAUAUUAUCUAGCACAGGUAGUACAUAAAAGUGGAUUUUGAUGGAAACCUCAAUUGGUUUGGAAGAUAGGAAGCACUGAAUUAUGACACAGCUAACUUAUAUCACUCCAGCUUUAAAAUUGAUGAUAAGGAAAGCACAUAUCCAAUUGGAAGUGCUGCAUUGCUUUAUUUAUUGCAUGCUUAAAAAAGAAAUCAUCGAGGCAUGAUGGUGUCGGUGAAUGAUAUUGGAUGUAUAGGAAUUUGGCUUUGUGAAAUGUAAAAAUCAAAGUAUCAGGUAUUCUUUUAGCAAAAAUCAGUGUAAUAAUGAACCCCGAC
rnacentral:misc_RNA from 1 species